GGCAAUGGGUCAGGGCUGGCAGAUAACAGACAUAAAUCCAAAACAGAGCAAAGGGUCCAAGGGGCAGGCGGCGGAGUAUCGUAAACAAGGAACAGACAGGAUCAGAAACAGGCAGACAAACAAGAAUCAAGAACGUUCAGAAUUGUAACAGAAGUUAACAAGACCUCGCAAACUUGAUGAUGAUAAAGCAGGACCAUCCAUGGCAUCUGAGGGGUCUGUGAAUAUAAAACUACGAGGAAUCCAUCAAGCUCUCAAAGGAGAUUAUGUGAACUCUGGCUUCCACAAAGGUCAUCUGGCACCAGUCUAUCAGGCACAAUCACAGGACUGUGCUGAUGCCACCUUCACUCUCACUAAUGCUGCUCCACAAAACUCCUCUUUUAACAGCGGUCAAUGGAGGGUACUAGAAGAAAACAUGGCAAAAAAUCGAACAGGGCAAUGUCUACAAAAGUAUUCUGUUUACAUUGUAACAGGGGUGGUUCUAGGUACAAGUAAAUUGAAAAACAGAGUUAAUGUGCCUAGUCAUUUCUGGACUGCAUACUGCUGCUUAGACCAGAAUAACAAAUGUCAAAUCUCAAGAGGAUUUAUUGGAGUGAAUGAGAACAUCACUCCCCAGAACUUAAAUGUGAAUGUUUUAGAGAAAGAGUUGGCAAAUCUUUAUAAAGUCACAUCUUUUGAGAUGUUUGAUAGCUCUACAGUACCCCCAAUGAAACAAAAAAGUAAAGCUUUCAAAAUAAAUGUAUCCUGUGGUCAAUUUUGGUUUAGUUUUCUCUGUGUUUUGUUCCUAUUUUACCUGCCAAGUUAGUUUCCUUGGUUAUUAAGCUCCUCACCAGUAAUGUUUCAGUCAGACAGGGGUGCCCUGAAUUUAGUGAUUCAGGAAUUUUUAUUUCUUAUGCAUGAUAUUUUUAUUUCUUAUGCAUCUGUUGUGAUUAUUUUAUAACUAUUUUAAAUCCUUUUCUAAGUAAAGCACGUUGAAUUACCAUUGUGUAUGAAAUGUGCUAUAUAAAUAAACUUGACUUGCCUUGCCAAUCAU